AAUUUUUAUACUACCACUGUCUCCAGGGCAACCGUGGCUUUAGAUUGUUACUGUAGUUCUGCAUUGGUAACAGUCUACAGCCAUGGUCGCUCGGGCAAGAUGCAGUCAGCGUGGUUGAA
rnacentral:pre_miRNA from 14 species